GCGGAUGGCCGGAUGGCCGCGGCGGGCGACCGCCGAGGAAAGUCCGGACUCCAUGAAGCGGCGGUGCCGGGUAACGCCCGGCCGGGGAAACCCGAGGGAAAGCGCCACAGAAAUCAAACCGCUUCCGUUCCGACGGGAGCAAGGGUGAAACGGUGGGGUAAGAGCCCACCGCGGACCUGGCGACAGGGACGGCACGGCAAGCCCCACCGGGAGCAAUGCCAAAUAGGGGCCUCGCGCGGGGACCGGUCCGGCAACGGAGACCGCCCGCAGGGACGCUUCAGCCCGAGAGGCCCGGGUUGGCAGCUUGAGCGCGCCGGUAACGGCGGGCCAAGAGGAAUGGCCAUCCAUGGGGGGCGACCCCCGGGACAGAAUCCGGCUUACAGGCCAUCCGCGCAU
rnacentral:RNase_P_RNA from 1 species